CCUACGGGAGGCAGCAGUGGGGAAUUUUGGACAAUGGGCGAAAGCCUGAUCCAGCCAUUCCGCGUGCAGGAUGAAGGCCCUCGGGUUGUAAACUGCUUUUGUACAGAACGAAAAGGUUUCUACUAAUACUAGGAGCUCAUGACGGUACUGUAAGAAUAAGCACCGGCUAACUACGUGCCAGCAGCCGCGGUAAUACGUAGGGUGCAAGCGUUAAUCGGAAUUACUGGGCGUAAAGCGUGCGCAGGCGGUUAUAUAAGUCAGAUGUGAAAUCCCCGGGCUCAACCUGGGAACUGCAUUUGAGACUGUAUAGCUAGAGUACGGUAGAGGGGGAUGGAAUUCCGCGUGUAGCAGUGAAAUGCGUAGAUAUGCGGAGGAACACCGAUGGCGAAGGCAAUCCCCUGGACCUGUACUGACGCUCAUGCACGAAAGCGUGGGGAGCAAACAGGAUUAGAUACCCUGGUAGUCCACGCCCUAAACGAUGUCAACUGGUUGUUGGGUCUUAACUGACUCAGUAACGAAGCUAACGCGUGAAGUUGACCGCCUGGGGAGUACGGCGCAAGGUUGAAACUCAAAGGAUUGACGGCNGAGAGNGACGAGACGACGACGAGGGAGGAGG
rnacentral:rRNA from 1 species